CUAAGAAUAUUCCGCAAUGGACGAAAGUCUGACGGAGCGACGCCGCGUGGAUGAUGAAGGCCGGAAGGUUGUAAAAUCCUUUUAAGUAUGAGGAAUAAGCAGUGUGAGAGAAACGCAUUGUGGUGACUGUAGUACUUGAAUAAGCAACGGCUAAUUACGUGCCAGCAGCCGCGGUAACACGUAAGUUGCGAGCGUUGUUCGGAAUUAUUGGGCGUAAAGGGCAUGUAGGCGGUAUUGCAAGCCUGGUGUGAAAGGCAGGGGCUCAACCUCUGGACUGCGCUGGGAACUGCGAUACUAGAGUCGCUGAGGGGCAAUCA
rnacentral:rRNA from 1 species